UGUUCUUUAAUGGUGAAACGAGGCGAAAUGAGCGAGACAAAUUGUUGCUUAUUUAUACUUAUAUUCCUGUGAUUUCAAUUACCAAAUUGAACUUCAUAUCAUAUUUGACUUAGCGGUCAGUCAAUUUCCAUCCAAUAGACCCAUAAUGCUGUCAAAACCUAUGUUUGAAGCUCACAUAUAGUGGAAUACAAAUCUGCCGAGUUAAGGAUCUUUUCUGAAUCUCGGAAUUUUUAUGGCGUACCCUGCAAUAGCAUGUUUGUUGUUAUGGCUGUUUUUAUUUCUGUUAAGAAGGCAACCCAGCUAAGAGAUAGAGUUUCAGCGACAUGAAGAGUGUGAAGUGAACCACCUAUCACCAUGCUACUAUAACACUUCAUGACACUUUCUUUAGCAUCAGGAAAUGUAUCUCAACAUGAGGAGUAAGACUGUUUGUUCCUGUGAUUUCCAUUUUUACGGUUUUUUCAUCAUGAAAAUUGAAGUGUGCUUCUUAGAAAUGAGCACACAGUUUCUUUAUGGAAUCGUGUGGUCCUGGCACGGAGAUUCUUG
rnacentral:lncRNA from 1 species